UGCACUAAAGUUUGUUUAUUCAAUUCUUAUUAGGGAGAUGUUUGGAUUGUUUCCAGUUUUUGGCAAUUAUAUGUAAAGUCACCUCUGUACAGGUUUUCAAGUGACCAUAGUUUUCAUUUCACUUGGGUCAAUAACAAGUAGGAGGCCAAGCUGUGUGGUAAGGGAAGCCUGCUGCCAUGUCUUGAGGACCCUCCAACAGCUCUGUGGAGAAGCCCACAUGGUGAGAAACUGAGGCCUUCAUGCAACAGCCAUGUGAAAAAGUCUUCAUGGAAGUGGGUCUUCCAGCCCAAUCAGAUCUUCAGAUGACUGCAGCCCCAGCUGACAGUUUCACAGGAAACUAAUGAGAGACCCUGAACCAGAGCCACCUGGGCCCCUGAGUUUCUGGCAGUUACAGUCAGGGCCCUCUGCUGAAAGAAGCAUCAUGGAAACCUGGACACACAUGAGAACCGGCCUUCCACGCAGGCAAGAAGCAGAAACUGAGGCUCCUCCUUCUCCAUCAUGAGGAAUGUCUUCUGGAAGGCCCUCUGUUGACCUCUCUUGAGAGAUGGCUUUGGUCUGGGUCACCCUGGGCCAUCAGUCAUAUUCUAAUAAUUUGAACCUUAAAAAGAAGGGGUUCUGGUUUCUGUUUCCUCUUUUUGUGUCCCAUAUAAAUUUCAGAUGCGGACAGAUGUAUAGGCAUGGGGCCUUGGCUAACUGCACUCACGACUCUUAGCCAAAUUAAUGAAGGAUAAUACUAAAGAGAACAAAACCCCCAGGGUAUUACAUAUGGAUUUCAAAUUCCAGAAUGAGUGCGAGAUAAGGG
rnacentral:lncRNA from 10 species